rfam:Triticum aestivum genome assembly, contig: Triticum_aestivum_CS42_TGACv1_scaffold_224271_3B
UAUGUACUCCCUCCGUUCGGAAUUACUUGUCACAAAAAUGGAUGUAUCUACAACUAAAAUAAAUCUAGAUACAUUCAUUUCUUGGACGAGUAAUUCGAAACGGAGGGAGUAGGAU